rnacentral:sRNA from 1 species
CAUGCCCCUUAUACGCUGGGCUACACACGUGCUACAAUGGGUAGAACAGAGAGUUGCAAAGCCGUGAGGUGAAGCUAAUCUCAGAAAACUAUUCUUAGUUCGGAUUGUACUCUGCAACUCGAGUACAUGAAGUUGGAAUCGCUAGUAAUCGCGAAUCAGCAAUGUCGCGGUGAAUACGUUCUCGGGUCUUGUACACACCGCCCGUCACACCACGAGAGUUGGUUGCACCUGAAGUAGCAGGCCUAACCGUAAGGAGGGAUGCUCCGAGGGUGUGAUUAGCGAUUGGGGUGAAGUCGUAACAAGGUAUCCGUACGGGAACGUGCGGAUGGAUCACCUCCUUUCUAAGGAGAAAAAGUCUUUCUCUAUUCUAUUGGUAAUGUUCUUUACAUUACUUCUGAACAUUGGAAACUAUAUAGUAGAACAAACAAGAAAAAAAUUAACUCUAACAAUUUCUUAGAGUUAGCUGUCAAAAAAUAGAUUAAAAUAAUUAAGGGCACACAAAGGAUGCCUAGGUAGUAAGAGCCGAUGAAGGACGUGGUAAGCUGCGAUAAGCCUAG